GACGAACGCUGGCGGCGUGCUUAACACAUGCAAGUCGAACGGAAAGGCCCUGCUUUUGUGGGGUGCUCGAGUGGCGAACGGGUGAGUAACACGUGAGUAACCUGCCCUUGACUUUGGGAUAACUUCAGGAAACUGGGGCUAAUACCGGAUAGGAGCUCCUGCUGCAUGGUGGGGGUUGGAAAGUUUCGGCGGUUGGGGAUGGACUCGCGGCUUAUCAGCUUGUUGGUGGGGUAGUGGCUUACCAAGGCUUUGACGGGUAGCCGGCCUGAGAGGGUGACCGGCCACAUUGGGACUGAGAUACGGCCCAGACUCCUACGGGAGGCAGCAGUGGGGAAUAUUGCACAAUGGGCGGAAGCCUGAUGCAGCAACGCUGCGUGCGGGAUGAAGGCCUUCGGGUUGUAAACCGCUUUCGCCUGUGACGAAGCGUGAGUGACGGUAAUGGGUAAAGAAGCACCGGCUAACUACGUG
rnacentral:rRNA from 1 species